GUUAUCCGGAUUUAUUGGGUUUAAAGGGAGCGUAGAUGGNUNNUUAAGUCAGUUGUGAAAGUUUGNGGCUCAACCGUAAAAUUGCANUUGAUACUGGNNNUCUUGAGUNCAGUUGAGGNAGGCGGAAUUCGUGGUGUAGCGGUGAAAUGCUUAGAUAUCACGAAGAACUCCGAUUGCGAAGGCAGCNUNCUAANCUGNAACUGACAUUGANGCUCGAAAGUGUGGGUAUCAAACAGGAUUAGAUACCCUGGUAGUCCACACGGUAAACGAUGAAUACUCGCUGUUUGCGAUAUACNGNMWGCGGCCAAGCGAAAGCGUUAAGUAUUCCACCUGGGGAGUACGCCGGCAACGGUGAAACUCAAAGGAAUUGACGGGGGCCCGCACAAGCGGAGGAACAUGUGGUUUAAUUCGAUGAUACGCGAGGAACCUUACCCGGGCUUAAAUUGCAGAUGAAUUACGGUGAAAGCCGUAAGCCGCAAGGCAUCUGUGAAGGUGCUGCAUGGUUGUCGUCAGCUCGUGCCGUGAGGUGUCGGCUUAAGUGCCAUAACGAGCGCAACCCUUGUUGUCAGUUACUAACAGGUUCCGCUGAGGACUCUGUCAAGACUGCCAUCGUAAGAUGUGAGGAAGGUGG
rnacentral:rRNA from 1 species